UACGGAGGAUGCAAGCGUUAUCCGGAAUGAUUGGGCGUAAAGCGUCCGCAGGUGGCAAUGUAAGUCUGCUGUUAAAGAGUCUAGCUCAACUAGAUAAAAGCAGUGGAAACUACAUAGCUAGAGUACGUUCGGGGCAGAGGGAAUUCCUGGUGUAGCGGUGAAAUGCGUAGGGAUCAGGAAGAACACCGGUGGCGAAGGCGCUCUGCUAGGCCGUAACUGACACUGAGGGACGAAAGCUAGGGGAGCGAAUGGG
rnacentral:rRNA from 1 species